rnacentral:lncRNA from 1 species
CCAUAAAUUGCAUUUUUUACUUUUUAUUGGAAUGGCUUCUCAUUUUGUAGAUAAAAAUAUUUUUUAUAUGUUCCUAAAGGUUUUUUUUUUUUUUUUUUUUUUUUUUUAGAAACACAAUGAUUUACAACCUCUAGAAACAAGUUUUCUGAACCUUGUUUCUGAAAACAUUUUGACUUCCCUUAGUUGGCACUGGAGGAAGAUACAAGUAUCUGGGGAAAACAACAAUUCAUGCCAUAUCACUUGCCCUCACAAAUCAUCCCAGAAAAACUUCUCAUGGCACAGAAAUGCCAGCAGCCAGAUGAAGACACCUGUCCCUAUCUGCAUGUGGAGCCAUAAGCAGUCAUUUUCUAACUUGGCAGCCCUCCUUCAAGUGUCAUUUCCAACACCACCUAGUGGACCAGGAAAUUCAGUCAAGCCG